UGCAAGUCGAACGGNAACAGGUUAAGCUGACGAGUGGCGAACGGGUGAGUAAUGCAUCGGAACGUGCCCGGUCGUGGGGGAUAACGCAGCGAAAGCUGCGCUAAUACCGCAUACGAUCUGAGGAUGAAAGCGGGGGACCGUAAGGCCUCGCGCGAUCGGAGCGGCCGAUGUCAGAUUAGGUAGUUGGUGGGGUAAAGGCUCACCAAGCCGACGAUCUGUAGCUGGUCUGAGAGGACGACCAGCCACACUGGGACUGAGACACGGCCCAGACUCCUACGGGAGGCAGCAGUGGGGAAUUUUGGACAAUGGGCGCAAGCCUGAUCCAGCAAUGCCGCGUGCAGGAAGAAGGCCUUCGGGUUGUAAACUGCUUUUGUACGGAGCGAAAAGGCUCUCUCUAAUACAGGGGGUUCAUGACGGUNCCGUAAGAAUAAGCACCGGCUAACUACGUGCCAGCAGCCGCGGUAAUACGUAGGGUGCGAGCGUUAAUCGGAAUUACUGGGCGUAAAGCGUGCGCAGGCGGUUUUGUAAGACAGGCGUGAAAUCCCCGGGCUCAACCUGGGAAUGGCGCUUGUGACUGCAAAGCUGGANUGCGGCAGAGGGGGAUGGAAUUCCGCGUGUA
rnacentral:rRNA from 1 species